ACAGCAGCAGCCGCGGGAAAACGUAGGGUGCAAGCGUUAAUCGGAAUUACUGGGCGUAAAGCGUGCGCAGGCGGUUAUAUAAGACAGAUGUGAAAUCCCCGGGCUCAACCUGGGAACUGCAUUUGUGACUGUAUAGCUAGAGUACGGCAGAGGGGGAUGGAAUUCCGCGUGUAGCAGUGAAAUGCGUAGAUAUGCGGAGGAACACCGAUGGCGAAGGCAAUCCCCUGGGCCUGUACUGACGCUCAUGCACGAAAGCGUGGGGAGCAAACAGGAUUAGAUACCCGCGUAGUCCCUGUCUCUUAUAC
rnacentral:rRNA from 1 species